rnacentral:rRNA from 1 species
AGGACGAACGGCUGGCGGGCGUGGAGUUAGGCGAUGCAAGUCGAACGGUAGAUAUCCUUCGGAGUAUUGAGAGUGGCGAACGGGUGAGUAACACGUAGAUGAUCUACCCUACAAAUGGGGGACGAACCCAGGGGAAACUUGGGCUAAUACCGCAUGAGUGCAGCGCAUAAAGCAUCUUUAGGUGGGUGUUUUAUGCGUUGCAUAAAGGUGGCCUUCGGGCUGUCGUUUGAGGAUGAGUCUGCGUCCUAUUAGCUAGUUGGUGAGGUAAUGGCUCACCAAGGCGAUGAUAGGACGCAGACUCCUACGGGAGGCAGCAGUCGAGAAUAGUCUACAAUGGACGAAAGUCUGAUAGUGCGACGCCGCGUGAACGAAGAAUCCCUUCGGGGUGUAAAGUUUUCCUUUUAUAUGUGAGCAAUGCUUUUUUAUGUGAAUAGCAUGAGAAGAGAGAUAUUAGCAUAUGAAUAAGCAACGGCUAACUCCGUGCCAGCCGCGGC